rnacentral:rRNA from 1 species
UGGGGAAUCUUCCGCAAUGGACGAAAGUCUGACGGAGCAACGCCGCGUGAGUGAAGACGGCCUUCGGGUUGUAAAGCUCUGUGAUCCGGGACGAAAGAGCCUGAGGUAAAUAGCCUAAGGAAGUGACGGUACCGGAAAAGCAAGCCACGGCUAACUACGUGCCAGCAGCCGCGGUAAUACGUAGGUGGCAAGCGUUGUCCGGAAUUAUUGGGCGUAAAGCGCGCGCAGGCGGCUUCCUAAGUCCAUCUUAAAAGUGCGGGGCUUAACCCCGUGAUGGGAUGGAAACUGGGAAGCUGGAGUAUCGGAGAGGAAAGUGGAAUUCCUAGUGUAGCGGUGAAAUGCGUAGAGAUUAGGAAGAACACCGGCGGCGAAGGCGACUUUCUGGACGAAAACUGACGCUGAGGCGCGAAAGCGUGGGGAGCAAACAGG